rnacentral:rRNA from 1 species
AUGAACGCUGGCGGUAUGCUUAACACAUGCAAGUCGAACGGUACCUUCGGGUAUAGUGGCGGACGGGUGAGUAACGCGUGAGAAUCUAUCUUCAGGUCGGGGACAACAGUUAGAAAUGACUGCUAAUACCGGAUGUGCCGAAAGGUAAAAGAUUUAUUGCCUGAAAAAGAGCUCGCGUCAGAUUAGCUAGUAGGUGGUGUAAGAGACUACCUAGGCUUCGAUCUGUAGCUGGUCUGAGAGGACGAUCAGCCACACUGGAACUGAGACACGGUCCAGACUCCUACGGGAGGCAGCAGUGGGGAAUUUUCCGCAAUGGGCGAAAGCCUGACGGAGCAAUACCGCGUGAGGGACGAAGGCUCUUGGGUCGUAAACCUCUUUUCUCAAGGAAGAUUCAGACGGUACUUGAGGAAUAAGCAUCGGCUAACUCUGU